rnacentral:rRNA from 1 species
GACGAACGCUGGCGGCGUGCCUAAUACAUGCAAGUAGAACGUUGAAGGAGGAGCUUGCUUCUCUGGAUGAGUUGCGAACGGGUGAGUAACGCGUAGGUAACCUGCCUGGUAGCGGGGGAUAACUAUUGGAAACGAUAGCUAAUACCGCAUAAUAGUAGAUGUUGCAUGACAUUUGCUUAAAAGGUGCAAUUGCAUCACUACCAGAUGGACCUGCGUUGUAUUAGCUAGUUGGUGAGGUAACGGCUCACCAAGGCAACGAUACAUAGCCGACCUGAGAGGGUGAUCGGCCACACUGGGACUGAGACACGGCCCAGACUCCUACGGGAGGCAGCAGUAGGGAAUCUUCGGCAAUGGACGGAAGUCUGACCGAGCAACGCCGCGGGAGUGAAGAAGGUUUUCGGAUCGUAAAGCUCGGUUGUAAGAGAAGAACGAGUGUGAGAGUGGAAAGUUCACACUGUGACGGUAUCUUACCAGAAAGGGACGGCUAACUACGUG